UACAGAGGGUGCGAGCGUUGUUCGGAAUUAUUGGGCGUAAAGGGCGCGUAGGCGGCGCCACAAGUCACUUGUGAAAACUCUGGGCUCAACCCAGAGCCUGCAGGCGAAACUGUGGUGCUGGAGUAUGGGAGAGGUGCGUGGAAUUCCCGGUGUAGCGGUGAAAUGCGUAGAUAUCUGGAAGAACACCAAAGGCGAAGGCAGUGUCCUGGGUGGUCGCUGACGCUGAGAGGCGAAAGCCAGGGGAGCGAACGGG
rnacentral:rRNA from 1 species